CAACACGACUCCAUGAAGGCGGAAUCGCUAGUGAUCGUGGAUCAGAAUGCCACGGUGAAUACGUACCCAGGCCUUGAACACACCGCGCGACACAACAUGGGAGUGGGUUGCAAAAGAAAUAGGUAGCUUAACCUUCGGGAGGGCGCUUACCACUUUGUGAUUCAUGACUGGGGUGAAGUCGUAACAAGGUAACCGUAGGAGAACCUGCGGUUGGAUCACCACCUAA
rnacentral:rRNA from 1 species